UUUUUUUCCAGGUUGACCUCGGAUCAGGUAGGGAUACCCGCUGAACUUAAGCA
rnacentral:rRNA from 1 species